GAUAAUGAGCUGUUCGAUAUUGUAUGUUGGUGGUAGACACCGAAGAUAACAAGCAGAAUUAGCUUGUUUAAAAAAGAAUUUGCUGAUCAAUAUCUUAAGUUCGUGCAAAACUGAUAAUCUAUAAUUAUAAGAAAGGUUUUUAAAUGGAAGACCUCUUGACGUUUUGGCAGAUUUCAAGCAAUAAUGCUCCUAGUUACAUUUAACGAUUAUUUAAUCAAAAC